UUAAAUCAUCUUGCUUCAAAUUAAUCGUACCUCAUAUUUUUUUGCUUUGAAUCUCUUUUUUUAUUUCUAACUUCUUUUUUUAUAUCAACGAUUAAAGUAUCUCUCUAUUAAUAUUUUUAACUUUGUCUACCUUUCUAUGAUUUAUUUCUUUUCAAUUCUAUGUAGGUUGAAUAAUGGCUUCUCAUAUUACUAAUAUUGAUGACAUUGUUGCUGGAAAAAUCGAUUGGAAGAUACGUGUUCGUAUAGUUAAUCUUUGGAAAAUUCCUGAUUUCAACAAACCAAAAGAGGCAUC
rnacentral:lncRNA from 1 species